rnacentral:rRNA from 1 species
UACGGAGGGAGCUAGCGUUAUUCGGAAUUACUGGGCGUAAAGCGUACGUAGGCGGCUUUGCAAGUUAGAGGUGAAAGCCUGGAGCUCAACUCCAGAACUGCCUUUAAAACUGCAUCGCUUGAAUCCAGGAGAGGUGAGUGGAAUUCCGAGUGUAGAGGUGAAAUUCGUAGAUAUUCGGAAGAAACACCAGUGGCGAAGGCGGCUCACUGGACUGGUAUUGACGCUGAGGUACGAAAAGCGUGGGGAGCAAACAGG